rnacentral:rRNA from 1 species
AUUGAACGCUGGCGGCAUGCUUUACACAUGCAAGUCGAACGGUAACAGGGUGCUUGCACCGCUGACGAGUGGCGAACGGGUGAGUAAUGCGUCGGAACGUGCCGAGUAGUGGGGGAUAACGCAGCGAAAGUUGUGCUAAUACCGCAUACGUACUGAGGUAGAAAGUGGGGGACCUUCGGGCCUCACGCUAUUCGAGCGGCCGACGUCUGAUUAGCUAGUAGGUGAGGUAAAGGCUCACCUAGGCGACGAUCAGUAGCGGGUCUGAGAGGAUGACCCGCCACACUGGGACGGAGACACGGCCCAGACUCCUACGGGAGGCAGCAGUGGGGAAUUUUGGACAAUGGGCGAAAGCCUGAUCCAGCCAUGCCGCGUGUCUGAAGAAGGCCUUCGGGUUGUAAAGGACUUUUGUCAGGGAGGAAAUCCCUAGCGUUAAUACCGCUGGGGGAUGACAGUACCUGAAGAAUAAGCACCGGCUAACUACGUGCCAGCCGCCGCGGUAACAC